rnacentral:misc_RNA from 1 species
GGAGAAGCGUUAGGGAGAGGAGCAUUUGGAACAGUAUUUAAAGGAAUUUUGGCUGAAGACCAGAAAGUGAUAGCAGUUAAGAGACUAGACAAAGAAUUAGUAGAAGGGGAGACAGAGUUCCAAACUGAAAUAAAAAUCAUUGGAAGGACACAUCACCGAAAUCUCGUCCGCCUCCUUGGUUAUUGCCUGGAUGGAUCAAGAAGGCUUCUGGUGUAUGAGUACAUGACCAAUGGGUCACUUGCAGACAUACUUUUUACAACAGAAAAACAGCCCACGUGGGAGGAAAGGUGUGGC